rnacentral:lncRNA from 1 species
CGGCGUCCUCCUUUCCAAUGAUGGUGAUCAGGUCCUGGUCCUUGUCCUCAGCCGCAGGGAAGAUGACACGUGCUCCAGUGCUGUCGCGCACCUUGCGAAUUUUGCCGCCCCCCUUGCCGAUGAGGAAUUUGUGGUAUUCUGGCUUGGCGCGGAUGUCAACAGUGAAACUCUUGGUUUGCUGCAGAAACCAAUCCCACUGUGUUAGCCUGACACCACGUGCCUGGACCACAGUGAGGAAGACAAGAGGGUCUGUAGGACAGCAAGCUCGGGCUCCCCUUACAUUGUCACCAGUGUCCUGAUGUUGCACCAAUACCCCCAAAAUGGGGCUAGCACACCUCACUGAAUAAACAGAUGAAUACCCAGACUGCACACCUACUUCUCUUCCACAACAACCAGAUGCUGGUGGGAUGAACACACAGGCUUAGAACCCUGGUCCUGCCACUUACAAGCACUGACCAAACUUCUCCAAGCCAUUUUUGAUCUGCACAGGGGGAGGUGGGAGCAACGCGCCGGACGAUAUGUUGGCGGAGUGCACGUCCUGGGGAGCGUGGGGUGUGCCCAGCAGAGCAGGAAGCAAGCUGCCCAAGAGGUGUGCACCAUGCUCCCACUCUUCUACCUG